AUGGAAUCCAGACGACACUUUUGCUAGUGGUUUUAAUAGAAAUAGAAUUCCCCAAGAAAUUUCACAAGAUAAAGAAGAAAAGAUUCUGGAAAAUCCUUCUCAAAUUAGCAAUCCAGUAGUGGAUGAGAUU